rnacentral:rRNA from 1 species
UAGGGAAUCUUCCACAAUGGGCGAAAGCCUGAUGGAGCAACGCCGCGUGCAGGAUGAAUGCCUUCGGGUUGUAAACUGCUUUUAUAAGUGAGGAUUUUGACAGUAACUUAUGAAUAAGGAUCGGCUAACUCCGUGCCAGCAGCCGCGGUCAUACGGAGGAUCCAAGCGUUAUUCGGAAUGACUGGGCGUAAAGAGUUGCGUAGGCGGUUUGUUAAGCGUGUAGUGAAAUCUUGGGGCUCAACCCUGAAACUAUUACACGAACUGGCAAACUAGAGUAUAUGAGGGGUACCUGGAAUUCCCGGUGUAGGAGUGGAAUCCGUAGAUAUCGGGAGGAACACCAAUGGCGUAGGCAGGGUACUGGCAUAUUACUGACGCUAAGGCACGAAAGCGUGGGGAGCGAACGGGAUUAGAUACCCCCGUAGUCC